rnacentral:tRNA from 1 species
AGUUAAUUAAUUUAAAAUAAAAUUUUUAUUUUGAAAAUAAAAAAUAGAUUAAUUUCUAUUAACUU